rnacentral:rRNA from 1 species
AUUGAACGCUGGCGGCAGGCCUAACACAUGCAAGUCGAGCGGGGUUUUCGGACCUAGCGGCGGACGGGUGAGUAAUGCGUAGGAAGCUGCCCGAUAGAGGGGGAUACCAGUUGGAAACGACUGUUAAUACCGCAUAAUGUCUACGGACCAAAGUGUGGGACCUUCGGGCCACAUGCUAUCGGAUGCGCCUACGUGGGAUUAGCUAGUUGGUGAGGUAAUGGCUCACCAAGGCGACGAUCUCUAGCUGGGUUGAGAGGAUGAUCAGCCACACUGGAACGGAGACAGCGUCCAGACUCCUACGGGAGGCAGCAGAGGGGAAUAUUGGCCAAUGGGCGCAAGCCUGGUCCAGCCAUGCCGCGUGUGUGAAGAAGGCCUUCGGGCUGUAAAGCACUUUCAGCGAGGAGGAAGGGUGGUGUGUUAAUAGCACAUCAUUUUGACUUUACUCGCAGAAGAAGCACCGGCUAACUCUGUGCCAGCCGCCGCCGUAAUAC